GGUCGAUGAUGAGCUGGCAUGUAUUCUGAAUCUAAAGUUGAUUGUUACUACUUUAGCUCUAGAAUUACUCUGAGACCUG
ensembl:snoRNA